UAAUACGUAGGGGGCAAGCGUUGUUCGGAAUUACUGGGCGUAAAGGGCGCGUAGGCGGCACGGCAAGUCGGGAGUGAAAGCCCGGGGCUCAACCCCGGAGGGUCUUCCGAAACUGCCGGGCUAGAGUGCGGAAGAGGCAACCGGAAUUCCCAGUGUAGCGGUGAAAUGCGUAGAUAUUGGGAAGAACACCGGAGGCGAAGGCGGGUUGCUGGGCCGACACUGACGCUGAGGCGCGAAAGCCAGGGGAGCAAACGGGAUUAGAUACCCCGGUAGUCCUGGCCCUAAACGAUGGAUACUUGGUGUGUGGGGUUCUCACAGUCCCCGCGUGCCGGAGCUAACGCGGUAAGUAUCCCGCCUGGGGAGUACGGUCGCAAGGCUG
rnacentral:rRNA from 1 species